GUAACACGUGGGUAAUCUGCCCUCAGGUUUGGGAUAACCCAGGGAAACUUGGGCUAAUACCGAAUAAGACCACGGUACGAGAGUACUGUGGGAAAAGUAGGGGACUCCUUCGGGAGCCUUACACCAGAGGAUGAGCCUGCGUCCCAUCAGCUAGUUGGUAGGGUAAUGGCCUACCAAGGCUAAGACGGGUAGCUGGUCUGAGAGGAUGACCAGCCACACUGGAANUGAGACACGGUCCAGACUCCUACGGGAGGCAGCAGUGGGGAAUAUUGCGCAAUGGGCGAAAGCCUGACGCAGCAACGCCGCGUGAGUGAUGAAGGUCUUCGGAUCGUAAAGCUCUGUCGGCAGGAACGAUGGGGAGAUUGGCUAAUAUCCAAUUUCUUUGACGGUACCUGCAAAGGAAGCACCGGCUAACUCUGUGCCAGCAGCCGCGGUAAGACAGAGGGUGCAAGCGUUGUUCGGAAUUAUUGGGCGUAAAGAGCGCGUAGGCGGCUGAGCAAGUCAAAUGUGAAAGCCCACAGCUUAACUGUGGAAGUGCAUUCGAAACUGCUCAGCUUGAGUCUCGGAGAGGGUGGUAGAAUUCCCAGUGUAGAGGUGAAAUUUGUAGAUAUUGGGAGGAACACCAGUGGCGAAGGCGGCCACCUGGACGAUGACUGACGCUGAGGCGCGAGAGCGUGGGGAGCAAACAGGAUUAGAUACCCUGGUAGUCCACGCCGUAAACGAUGGAUACUAGGUGUUGCAGGUAUUGACCCCUGCAGUGCCGAAGCUAACGCGAUAAGUAUCCCGCCUGGGAAGUA
rnacentral:rRNA from 1 species